AACACUACAUUGAGGAAAUGCUUUGUAGCUGACGGUACCUUAUCAGAAAGCGAUGGCUAACUAUGUGCCAGCAGCCGCGGUAAUACAUAGGUCGCAAGCGUUAUCCGGAAUUAUUGGGCGUAAAGCGUUCGUAGGCUGUUUAUUAAGUCUGGAGUCAAAUCCCAGGGCUCAACCCUGGCUCGCUUUGGAUACUGGUAAACUAGAGUUGGAUAGAGGUAAGCGGAAUUCCAUGUGAAGCGGUGAAAUGCGUAGAUAUAUGGAAGAACACCAAAGGCGAAGGCAGCUUACUGGGUCUAUACUGACGCUGAGGGACGAAAGCGUGGGGAGCAAACAGGAUUAGAUACCCUGGUAGUCCACGCCGUAAACGAUGAUCAUUAGUCGGUGGAUUGAUCACUGACGCAGCUAACGCAUUAAAUGAUCCGCCUGAGUAGUAUGCUCGCAAGAGUGAAACUUAAAGGAAUUGACGGGGACCCGCACAAGCGGUGGAGCAUGUGGUUUAAUUUGAAGAUACACGGAGAACCUUACCCACUCUUGACAUCUUCCGCAAAGCUAUAGAGAUAUAGUGGAGGCUAACGGAAUGACAGAUGGUGCAUGGUUGUCGUCAGCUCGUGUCGUGAGAUGUUUGGUCAAGUCCUGCAACGAGCGCAACCCCUAUCUUCAGUUACUAACGAGUUAUGUCGAGGACUCUGGAGAUACUGCCUGGGUAACUGGGAGGAAGGUGGGGAUGACGUCAAAUCAUCAUGCCUCUUACGAGUGGGGCAACACACGUGCUACAAUGGUCGGUACAAAGAGAAGCAAUAUGGCGACAUGGAGCAAAUCUCAAAAAGCCGAUCUCAGUUCGGAUUGAAGUCUGCAACUCGACUUCAUGAAGUCGGAAUCGCUAGUAAUCGCAGAUCAGCUAUGCUGCGGUGAAUACGUUCUCGGGUCUUGUACACACCGCCCGUCACACCAUGGGAGCUGGUAAUACCCAAAGUCGGUUUGCUAACCUCGGAGGCGACUG
rnacentral:rRNA from 1 species